rnacentral:rRNA from 1 species
UACAGUGGUCCCAAGCGUUGUUCGGAUUCAUUGGGCGUAAAGGGCGCGUAGGCGGGCUACCAAGUCUGUGGUGAAAUCCUCCAGCUCAACUGGAGAACGGCCGUGGAUACUGGGAGCCUCGAGGGAGAUAGGGGCAGGCGGAACUGAUGGUGGAGCGGUGAAAUGCGUUGAUAUCAUCAGGAACUCCGGUGGCGAAGGCGGCCUGCUGGAUCUCAUCUGACGCUGAGGCGCGAAAGCCAGGGGAGCAAACGGG